AAAAGUCGUAACAAGGUUUCCGUAGGUGAACCUGCGGAAGGAUCAUUAUUGAAAUAGAAGACCCACUCGUUGGGCUUCAACCUUUCAAAUUCAAACACUUUGUGCACUGUCGAGAUGAACGUCAUUGUCCUUGUGGCAUGGCUACUAGUCUUACAUUCCAUCAAAACACAAGUCAACGCAUGUAUUAUACAUAUAAUAAUAAAACUUUCAACAACGGAUCUCUUGGCUCCC
rnacentral:misc_RNA from 1 species